rnacentral:rRNA from 2 species
UACGUAGGGGGCAAGCGUUGUCCGGAAUCACUGGGCGUAAAGCGUGCGUAGGCGGUUGCGUGUGUCCGGGGUGAAAGUCCAGGGCUCAACCCUGGGAAUGCCUUGGAAACUGCGUAACUUGAGUGCUGGAGAGGCAAGGGGAAUUCCGCGUGUAGCGGUGGAAUGCGUAGAUAUGCGGAGGAAUACCAGUGGCGAAGGCGCCUUGCUGGACAGUGACUGACGCUGAGGCACGAAAGCGUGGGGAGCAAACAGG